GAAGCAGGGCGGAAGCCAGGGUGUCAGGGAUCUGUCUGGACAGCGGAUUUACAGCCAAGCCCCUAGUGCUUGUGCUAAUUCUGAACAGCUCAGUGCUAACAACUGUGGACUUUAAAAUACACACCGGCUUCAAACUGCCAUCUGCAUCUGAAUACCACACACCUGGGGCUCUGCACAACCCUCAUGCUGGCCAUCAACUUUUUAUGUGGAGUUAGGAAGAAACAAAGGAGGUGGCACUGUUCCAGCCCUGCCCAACAGCACAAGGUGUUCACAUCAGAAGCCAUAGAGAUUGGUGCAUGGACUUCAAGGAUAUCAGCUUCUGAAGUGCUGGUGACAGGCAGCAGCACCAGCCCAGCAGCAAAUGAAAGAAGAGGUUUGCUCUACGUGAAGCAAGGCAAAAGCUUUUCUGAAUCAAGUUGUCUGUAGAGAGAUUCACUCAGAGACAAAGUUCCUUGCAAGGAUGGCGUAUCCUGUCAGCCUCAAUGGAAGACGCAGAAAACGCAGUAGACUGAGAUUAUUGCUGUGUCACUCAUCUUUCACUGCCUCUAACUUUUCCUUGUGAGUCAGAGCUAAGUUGCAUGUCAUGUUGCUGCUAUCAACCCUGCUGUUCCUGCUGUUUCCCAUCUGUGUAUUCCACACAAGCAGAAACCUCUCUGUCCUUUUGGCAGCUUCAGAAAAUAAAUCAUCAAUGCAAAAG